rnacentral:rRNA from 1 species
UACGGGGGGGGCGAGCGUUGUCCGAAGUUACUGGGCGUAAAGCGCGUGUAGGCGGGUUGUUAAGUCCGCUGUGAAAGCCCGGUGCUCAACGCCGGAGGGUCGGUGGAUACUGGCAGUCUUGAAGUGGCUAGGGGGAAAUGGAAUUACCGGUGUAGCGGUGAAAUGCGUAGAUAUCGGUAGGAACACCAGUGGCGAAGGCGGUUUCCUGGAGCCCACUUGACGCUGAGACGCGAAAGCUGGGGAGCAAACGGG